rnacentral:rRNA from 1 species
AGUGAACGCUGGCGGUAGGCCUAACACAUGCAAGUCGAACGGCAGCACAGUAAGAGCUUGCUCUUACGGGUGGUGAGUGGCGGACGGGUGAGGAAUACAUCGGAAUCUACUUUUUCGUGGGGGAUAACGCAGGGAAACUUACGCUAAUACCGCAUACGACCUACGGGUGAAAGCAGGGGAUCUUCGGACCUUUCGCGAUUGAAUGAGCCGAUGUCGGAUUAGCUAGUUGGCGGGGUAAAGGCCCACCAAGGCGACGAUCCGUAGCUGGUCUGAGAGGAUGAUCGGCCACACUGGAACUGAGACACGGUCCAGACUCCUACGGGAGGCAGCAGUGGGGAAUAUUGGACAAUGGGCGCAAGCCUGAUCCAGCCAUACCGCGUGGGUGAAGAAGGCCUUCGGGUUGUAAAGCCCUUUUGUUGGGAAAGAAAAGCAGCAGGUUAAUACCCCGCUGUUCUGACGGUACCCAAAGAAUAAGCACCGGCUAACUUCGUG